rnacentral:ncRNA from 1 species
AACAGCCUCUAGUCGAUAAAAUAAUGUAGGUAAGGGAAGUCGGCAAAUUAGAUCCGUAACUUCGGGAAAAGGAUUGACUCCAGUGACCGGGUCGCUUGGCCUGUUAACUGAUGCUUGUGCGGUUUCGUCCGUGGCUGGCAGACGCUCACGCUGAUGCUGGACUAGUGACAAGACUGCCUUGUGGACGUUUUCAGGUGUGUGCUUUGUCUUCGGGCUUAGUAUCCUGACCGACCAUCAAAACGGUCGAACUGGAACUGGUACGGACUCGGGGAAUCGGACUGUCUAAUUAAAAUAGAGGAGACAGAUGGUCCUUGCGGACGUUUACUGUCUCUGAUUUCUGCCCAGUGCUCUGAAUGUUAAAUCGUAGUAAUUCGAGUAAGCGCGGGUAAACGGCGGGAGUAACUAUGACUCUCUUAAGGUAGCCAAAUGCCUCGUCAGCUAACUACUGACGAAUGCAAGUUUUGGCACAUUUUUUCGAUAAUCGGGUAUCGUAACGUGCCAGU